GAUAGAUUUAGGCUGAGCUCGGGCUGAAAUUUGGGAUUAAAGAUUAAAAUAUCUUUCUGCUGUGAUGUGAGAUCUGCUGUUUUCAGUGGAGGAAUACGUAUUGCUCCAUAUGUUUGAUUGCCCCAAUGUAUGGUUUUGAGAUCAUUUCCUGGGCCUGCUCAGAUAUCCAGCAAGAGCACCUCCAUCGCCACCUAAUUGCCUCUGACAAAAUCUGCAUAAGGCUUUAUUUCCUGGUGCAACUUCAAAAGUAUCAUUCAGAUUAAUGGAAAUAACAAAGGAAACACAUUUCUGUCUGAAAUCAGAUCCGUGCAGUGGAAGGACUCCCACAUCUAUGGCUUAGCAUUCUGUUGCUGUUGUCUUUUAUUUUUUUCUUAAGAAAUAAAAAACAAAACAUUUUAUGUACCUUCUGUUUGCUGCUCUCACUUUGUCAAAAUAAUCACUAUGAGUACAUCACACAAAGUUACCACUAUGUUUAAGGCCUCCUCUCGUUGAACUGAGAAUGUUUCUCUCUUUUAAAGUCAUGUAUUUUCUCUCUCUCUAAAGCUGUGCUUCUCACACUGUGAAGCCGCUCUCUCCAGAGAGGCUCCAUUCCUUUCCAGAGAAGGCUGAAACAAUUUGAGUGAAAAUGAGCUGGGAAAAAACAAACAAACAAAAGCUGGGUGUUGGAUACCCACUGCACGAAUCUGUGCUCUGUGGGCGCUUUCUCCACCCCAGCUCCAUGGAGCAUGGAAAGGCAGAAAAUAGCAGCCAGCUCUGGCCACAUCUGUAGUAUUGCAUGGAGAUAUAUCUACAACACCCUUAACUCUGUAUAAGAAUAGGAAGUAUGGAAAAAUUGAACAUAAUACAGUGCAGAACAUAGCAGUUCAACAAGCAUUCCCCAGGUAGUCCUUUCUCGGAAGCCAUCCAUGAGAUAUGGUGUCCCACUGCCCACCAGCAUGGGGUUCCUAGUGGGUGGAGCAGGGCAUGGUGUGAGCAGCUGCUGGUGGUGUGAGGCCAUGCAGGCAGCAACACGUGCGAAUGCAGUGAGGUCUGUGAGGGCACUUCAGUAUCUUCAGUGGUCUGUAGAUAGAGUCCACAUAGAACUACUUUUUCUGUAGAAAAGUUCACAUAGCAUGAUGUGGACUUUUCCCAUUUAUUCUACUGACUGUCACUCCCAUGGCCCUUUACAGAGACAUGUGUGAUUUUGAUCAGGUGUGGACAUUCUGAGUUUUAUGGGGAGAAGCAGAGUGAUUUUCUUUUCCUGUAGUCUUCCUUUUUCUUUUUUUUUCUUUUUUUUCUUUUUUCUUUUUUUUCUUUUAUUUUUUUUUCCCUAUACAAACAGAGAAUCCAGCUUUUCAUCUCUGUUACUCAUUGUAUGGUACUAUCAUUGUGUAUGCAUUGAUAUACACACAUUUUUACAAGUUAUAUAUAGGACUUUGGCCCUGGUACUACUUACAGACAUUAAAGCUUUCAGCAUCAUUGACUUAGGAACGGUCUGAAACUGAGUCAAUGUUUGAAACAGAAAUCAGUGCAUUCAGGGUGUAUUGUGCUCCCUGGAAGGUCUGAGACACUUCAGGGACCGCCAAUUCCAACCUUUGGAAGCCAUGUCAUCUGCACACCUCCACGUUGACGUUGCUCUCACAGCCUUUCCUCGGAGAAGUAACUGCUGAGUGGCGCGACCGUAUAAAGAAAACUUCCAGUGACUUUAGGGAUACGACUUAAUUCGUUUUGCUCGGAUCCGUAUUGACCUGCUGUGUCUCUGAACAUGUUGACAUUAUUCUGCUGGUGAACAGCUGUGAGUGUCCGUGGAGCUCCCACAGCAUGGUGCUGGGCUCUCUGCCACCGGCAGAGGCUGUAGCACUGAAAGAGGAACUGCCGGUUGAACUGAGGCACUGAAGCAGUAGCAGAAGUAUUGGACGUGAGUUCUGACAAAACUUGAGCAUGCAGCUGGCUUUCAGUCGGGGUCCCUGGUUCAGAAGCUGGCCUCUAGCUGCCCAUGGGGCUUCAAAAUUAAGGAGAUUCAAAUUAGCUAAAUUGGACACUCUUCCAAUUUCUUAGUGAGCAAAGAAUGAGAAUCAUAUGGAAAUUCUCCCAGUGCUUGUGAAUCACUUUCUUCUGCUUAGAUACUUUACUUUUCUAUGUCAGAUGCAGUUUCCUCUAAGCCAUUUUUAUCAACCAGUAACUUUUGAAAUAGGGAAAAAUGUCAUCGAUGCCUGAGGAAAGCUGCGAGAUGCUACUUUGUCCUCACACAUCUUUGUUCUGACUGGAUGAAAGAUUUCAUUCAGGUCUGUGACACUUCUAUCGCAUUCAAGAAAAUCUACACUAUAUUUGUUAUCAGUAUUUCUCUAUGGAAUAACUGCUUAAGCAAAUUACUUAGAUUAUUGCUGGUGUUAUAUUGACACACAAAGGCAACAUCCAUCAGUUGCCUGCAUUUAGUAAUUGAACAGUAAGUGGAGGCAUGCAUGCAAUGAAAACUCUUACAAGAGUAAUACUGCACCUUAUUGCCAAUAACAAGUCUGACUUGCUUAGAGACAAACAUUUUGUUCUGCAUUUCUUACUCAUUAAAAAAGAGAGUGAGAGAGAGAGAGAGGGAGAGAAUGACAACAGUUUCUUGCAAUGUUUACCCCAAGGGCACAUUCGGUUAACAGGUAUAAUCACUGUUAUAUUACUGAUGAUUAAUCAGAAUUCUUCUUGAUGAAUCACAGUAUCAUCAAUGACUGGAUUUUACCAAAAGUUAAGCAAAAAAAAAAAAAAAAUCACAAUUCCUUGAAAUUCUAGUGAAGUUCUAAUUUCCAAUACAAAAAUAAAUCACCUUUUGUUGCAACUUUAUAACUGUUAGAUUCUUCACUUUAGCAAUACAUUAGUGUAUAUGGUACUGAAAUAGCGAUUCCACCUCUGUCAACAUCAUUUUGAAGUCAUCUCUGACAAGGAAAACCUACCUCUGGAGAGUAGUGAGGACUCUAUCCUGCUGCAGUUGAAGCUGAAAUUCCUGUUGAUUUUGGUAGUAUUUGGAUCAGCCACUGUUGAAAAUGUUGGUGCUCCAAAUAAGGCAGACGCAGCAGAUACUGCAGGUGAGCAGUGGAUCCAGAUCCCAUUUGAUGUGGGCUCUGGUGGCCGAGCACUUCUCACAGUGUUUACAUGCAUGAAAGACCGACAAAGGAAAAUUGGAUGAAUCCACACAGUCAAUACUGCUAGUAUUAAAAGGUUUAUUUAUUUAUAAGAAUAUUAUGUUUUUAAACAAGAUCUCCAGUAUCUCCAAGUAUGGCUUUAUCUGUUCCUUGCCUUGUUUCCUCUUUUUGUUUCUCCAAUGUUUACAGUUUCUUUUUCCUUUAAGAAAUUAUGGAGAACAAUGUACAGAGAAGCCUGUAUCAUUUUAGUCUUCGGAUGUUUUAUGUCUUUCCUACAGUAUCCCAUGGAUACUGAAGUACAGAAUCAUGUUCCGUAUUCAUGUCUCCGUUGUACGGUGGUUUUCCAAAAGAAAUGUUCACAGCGCUGCAGCUGACAGAGAGCUGAAUAAAUAAUAAUGAAUAAAACAAUGUGUGCAGUGUUUGUUUUGCAAACUGUUGCAUCACAUUUUGUCAGCAUUUUAAAAAUACCUUUUGCAGCAUCUUCAUGCCUUACUCAGUUUCAAGGUGAUAGCUUUUUCAUGCAAAUCUUGCAAAACAUAGAAUAUUUCAUAUUUCUUUACUGUCUUCCUUGUUUUUAACACAGAAAUAUAUUUCAACACCAGUGCUUGAUUUUUAUUUAUUUUUUUAAUUUUAACGUACUUACAGUUCUGUUGUUUGUACCAUGCCUUUGGUUGAGGGCAAAUCUGGGGCUGGAGAGGUUUUUUUUCCUCAUCCUAUGGUUUUCAGAUCAAAUGUGGCCAAGGUAUAACACUUCAUAAAUCAUAAUUUUCUUUCUUUGACCUAUGUUACUCUCACUGUCAUGUUCACAGAAGGAACAGCAGUUACACAGCUGCUGAAACAUCAACGCUGUGCAGCACACUGGGAACAAAAGUGCAGUCAGCAUUGGGCUGUGUGUGAAGUUCGGGUCCAAGGCUGGGCCUCAACACACUGGAGAUCUCAAACAGGAUAUUUUUUGUACACUGGUCCAGCUGUGUGUUGGAUUUAAAGCAUCUUCACUGCUUCUGCAGUGCCUGCUUCUGAAAUGGACAGGGGAGCUCAACUCUCUUUGCAGAGAGUAUCCAACAUAUAUAUGAUAGAGAGCUUAGGCUCUGAGCACUGUGUUUGGGCUAGAGCUUUCAUUUUAGGAAUGUCCCGGGGCUCAGCCUGACCUCAUGAUGCACACAACGAGGAUCCAUGGGAGCCAGUAUCCAAUGACUUGCUUUGUGCGGUGCAGCUAAAGGUGCACAACCAGCAGUCAUGUUGCCAGGGAGCGAGCUGCCAGAUGUUGUGGGAAUCCAUGUGAUAUCAAGGAAUCUGCCUUGCACUCAACUUCAGAAAAGGAGUGUGGGUGACAAUGGCAGUAAGAAAUAAGGACGGAAUGAUGCUUCUCAAGGAAGUACUUAAGAAAAUAAACAGAAAAAAGGAAUAUUUUGACCCAUUGUUUCUACUUGUCCGGCCUGUAGAGAUUCCUGCACAACAGUGAAAUUUUCAGAGGGGUCGUUUUAAUGAAAUUAAAACAAAUGCACAGAAUUUCACUUAAUUUCAGGCUAAUUUUAUAUGCUUCUGGUUGAGAAACCAGUAGUCAUGACGAAUCGCUCUGUUCUCACUCAUGUCUGUGGGAUAUCAAUGCAGAAUCUGACUGCUUCCAAGUGACUAAGUAUACUGUUUUAGCUUUGCCCCAGCAGCCAGAUUCUCUAUUGGCAUCCUGCUGAUAUUUCUUAUAAUACGUGGAUUGAGUCAUGCCAAGCAUCUGGGGGGAAAAAGCUGUUUUGUCAUUCACUUUAAGAACCUCCGUACAAUCAAGCAACUGCUAAUAUCGAAGUCAUUGACCCUCUGCAUUUGUAGACAUCUCUCUUGAGAAAUGAAAUUGAUUUUCUUUAUCUCAGCACAUAAAUAUCCCCAGCACACACCUUGACCCAUUGUUUGCAAUGUCUCUCACACUACAAAAUGUAAUGCUAAUAGAUUUUAAAAAGUCAACAGUAGCAGCAAUAGUAGCAUUUUUAUUGUGGGCUGUACUUGGCCAUAUCUUAACUUGUUUCUGUAUGAAACCUUUAUAGGGAAGGCUUUGUCAUGGUAUUUAAUUGAAAUACACGUAAACACUGAAAUUUUCUUUCUUUCUUUUUUUUUUUUUUUUUUUUUUCCCCAAGGUACAUAAUGUAGUUAAAAUAGAGUUUAUAAAGCAUUCUGCUGUGCAGAACUAGUUAGGUCCUAUAAACACUAGUCCUCAUUUGGACAGUUUGGGUUGCUCAUGUAUUGGAUUCUGACCAGUUUCUGACCUGAUACAAAGGUGGGGGAUCUCACACACAUGCACAAAAAAGUAAAUCUUAUUAACCUUUCAGGUCUUGGAGUCUGACCUUUACUAGAGCCACACAUCACAGAGAGACCUUGCAUUAAAACAGGAAUGCCAGAAUAAAUCUAAUAACGAUAAAGAGAAUUUGAGUUCCUAGACAUUAAUAUGAAAUGCAAAUAAUCACAGAAACAUCUUUUGUAUUGGAGAUGAGUGGUGCCUCAAAAUCUCUGACCUAACUGAAGUGUAUCUCAGUCCUUUUGUUUUCACCAAUAGUAUAAUUUAUUUGUUUCUGAGAAGAAAUCAACCUUUAAUUGCUUUCUUUAGCAACAUCUAGUAAACAGGCUGAUAGCAUGGAGAUGAUCUCUGCAAACAGCAAAGAAGAAUUUCUUCAACUCAUGUUGCCAUGACAAUUUAGAUUUUGCCUGUCAACUCUUGAGAAGCUCCGAAGUCCUUUCUUUAAAUCAGUAAUUCAGGGAAUAUUUUGGAAAAGCAAGUUGCUUUUUUUUUCAUUUUUAGUAUCAUUUAGCCCAGCAAAGGGCCUGCCUGAUCCAGUGGAUUUUAAGAUCUACAAACAGGAACUAGUCUAAGAAAUAUAAUAUUUUGAAAUCGCCUCCGUGGAUCUCAGUUGAUUUACAUCAGCAGAGAAGCUGGCUUCAGACACGUUAUCAAGUGAUUUAGAUCUCAUUUAUUAGAGAUGUGAUAAUAUGAAAUUGUCAUCAUAGAAACAAUAACAGAUAAUGAAGAGUGGAUAGGCCAGCUUAUAAUUGUCAUUUUGAUCUUUGUGACAAUGCAUUGUCUUGCAGCUAUUUUGAGGAAAUUAGAUUAGAGAGGGAUUAUAGGACAAAGAAGGACUAAUCAUUUUAUUUCUUUUACAGUUCCAAUUAUAACAUUAGUUCAGUGAAUGAGGAAUGUAAUCAAAAGACUGUUGUCCAUAUACUUGAAUUACUAUUUAAGAUACUUCCCAUAUAAAAUAUGUUGCUAUUAAACAAACUGAACUUCCCCCUUUUAUUAUUUUUAUGUUUAUCUAAUAUUAAAUUAAUUGUUUUGAAAAUAUAUAAAACUGGUCCAAGUUACUUUAAUUUACUUCUUAUGGAAGUAAUUUAUUGACUUAAUGAGGUAUUUCAUUGGUUGCUGUUAUCAAUGAGGGAAACAUGGUAAAAGAAAUGGAGAUAAAGUGAAAUGCUGCUUCCACUGGGUAAAUAAGUUUAUCUCUAGUGAAGACGAGAAAAGUAGCUCAAUAGUAGUUUUUUUUUAAGAUGUUCCUGGCAGAUGAUGGCAACUGAGUUGGUGUAGUUUGUUUACUUCUUUUCCAAUGGAUUUGAGAUGAGUCAUAUAACAUUACAAGGAAAAUUGAGAAGUUGUGUCAAAGUAAAUUCAGUUUUCCUCCUUUUUUUUUUCUUUUUUUUUUUUUUUAAUAUAUAACCUAAUCAUUAGUUUUUAUUAAACUGAGACACCUAACUGCUUGUUUUAGGGUUGGUUCUCAUUUCGUCCAUAAAUCCAAGUUUCUGUUACUAGAAAUUGCAUAUUCAGAUCUUUAAUUUCUGUCUGCCAGAGAGUGGGACAAAGUUAUAGCCUCCUUUCAGAUAGCUUCAUGCGUCUUUUUUGAAGUAGCAACCAGUUCAUUGCCAAGCUACUUACAGAAUCGUAGAGAAUCAUAGAAUCAUAGAAUGGCCUGGGUUGAAAAGAACCACAAUAACCAUCUAUUCUCAACCCCCCUUCCAUAUGCAGGGUGGCCAACCUGCCCAGAGCCACAUCCAGCCUGGCCUUGAAUGCCUCCAGGGAUGGGGCAUCCACAACCUCCUUGGGCAACCUGUUCCACUGUGUCACCACCCUCUGUGUGAAAAAAUUCCUCCUAAUAUCUAACCUAAACCUCCCUGUCUUAGUUUAAAACUAUUCCCCCUUGUCUUAUUGGACUACUUUGGAGCACAAUAAUUCAACUUCUACGAGCUGUUUUUAAACUGCUACGGGCUGUUUUUUGCAAGUCUUUUUAUCACAUUCCUUCAGAAUGGGAGUUGACUGAGUAUGGACUCUAUAGGGUGGGACCUCAAUGCUUCGUGUAGCAGAGAAAUCUUUAUUUCUGUUUUACUUCAUAACUGUCUUUAUCACUGCACUUUACUGAUAAUGCAGUGUAUCCACAGUGUUAAGGUAAAGUGGUACUUACCUAUAUGAAUUUUUGAUAAAAAACCAGACUUCUGGAUGGCAUACACUUAUGAUACAUCUCAUCAUACCCAUUCCACAUGAAAAACAACACUUUUUUUCUGAUAUAUCUGAUGGAAGAAGAUAUCCAUUUGUUGAAUAAAAGAACAUGUAUGUACCUAACCAUUAAAGCACCUGUCUGAAUUCAUUUUACUUCAAAACCAAAUUUCAGUUUAAGUUCAAGAAAUCUAUAAAGGGAGCAGAAGAUAGUGUUUAUUGUCAAGAGUCUAGAUUUGCAGAUACCUUUAUUUUUACUUUAUUUUCAGGAGUGCUGAGUACCUGCAGUUCCCACUGUUUUAAGAGAAGACUGCAGCUCUCGGCACUUUUGUACUUAGUUUUACACUCAGAAUCACCAUAAUCUGAAGGUAAAAUGGUGCCAUAAAAAGAAUGGAUUUACAACAGUGUACAGCAUUAACUUCUGUUAUAUUCUGGGUAGUAUCUAAAUUAAGUGAAGAUUCUCAGUAAUAAUUCCCUAGAAUUGUAUUAUUUUUUUUAGCAAUGAGAAUUUCUCAAGGGAAGUUGUGGUUUGUUUUUCUUUAAAGCUGUUGUACUUAAGCAGUUCUGUGUCUACAAAAACCCUGGAUCUGAUGUACCCAGGAACAAAAUGUUUGUGAUUGCAGAACAAAUGUUAAAAGCAGCAGCAAAUAAAAAUUUGGAGUGAAGCCAACUCAUAGACUAUUGGCUGUAUUGGUUAAUGGAGGUUGUUGUCUUGGCCCCAAAUUAAAACCAAUCAGUUCCACCUCCACUUUAUUGCCUAUGCAAGUAUUCAUCAUUUUAUACACUCAUCCCAAAUUGAUGGUAACUAAUUGCAGUUCUUUGGGAUUCCAUUUGUCUUGCUAAGAAGCAGGCGGUUCAUAAGGGAUGAUGCAGAACUUUACAGCUGUGGUGGAAAAAGGCCUCCCCUGUUUCAGCACAUUAGGAUAGGCACCAAGCUCCAUUUGGUAUUUUUGUGCAUCUUUCUGCAGAUCAUAUUUGCAGUAUGGAUUGCUCUGUGCAAAUGUUUUGAAUGUACUUUGUCACACAGCGUUGGUAUAUACAGCUUUGUAAAGCAGAAGCAUUUUGUGCAGCAGUCUCAACAGCAGUCUGCUUCUCAAAUGUACUCAGUGACACUGCUGUUGUCUAGGUACUUCCCAAAAAGAGUGAUGUCCAUAAGGAUCAUGUCCCCCAAGGGGAAAAAAUCAGUUCAAAAAGAAACUACUCUUUGACACUGGAAAAAUAUUGUACUGCCUACUGUGAAAAAAUAGGCUAUAGUGAUGACAGUGACUGUGUCAGGUGAAGGAUGGGCAUUCAGCACAGAGGACAGCAUGGGCAGCUGAUAGAAAUAAUUGUAUUUCAUUGACAUGCUCUCCAGUAGUACCACUAAGGAAGAUUAGGUAUCUCAAAAAAGAAGUUACAUGUGAAAAAGCAUGACGGCUUGUAAUGGGAAUUUCAGUCAGGAUUAUUAUUAUUAUUUUUAAUAAAUCCUUGCUCUCAUCAUUUGAUGUCCUCCAUUCAUCUGUUUUCUGAGAUAUCUGGUCUACUAUUAUAUUUAUUCUUUAAAUAAGUGUAUAUUAUACAGGACAUAGUCACAUAGUGUGAUUUAUUCCUUUCUUUUAUGAUAAAACCCAGCAUAUGAGGUCUCAUUCCAUGAAGUGCUGUAUGAAUGUGGAGGAAAAGAAAUGGACAGCAUUGUGAAAGCAAACUGAACUUGGGGGAAUGUUAUUUCCAGCAUGACCAGAUUCAAGCAAUAAGAUGUCUUCUGAAAUUUAGCCCACUGCAGCUUCAUGCUGGGCAGGUUGCUGAGCUGGUACAUAGGCUUUACACUGACAUGCUGAUAAUAAUGCUUUCAUCUCAUAGUGCUGGCAGAACUGGCACCAUCAGAUUCGCAACAUUAAAUACUAUUUGUCUUUUGUUUCCUCUUACUGUUUCCUCAACAUUUUCCUUCUGCAGACCUUAUCUUUCUUGUCACUCUAUAAUCUCCUCCUCUGCUGAAGGAAUGUAAGAUGCAGGAUUUGUUGUGCUCCGUAGUGGCUGUCUGACAUUCACAGAAAGAAAAGCAUCCAGGGUCUGAUCUGUGUUGACUUGUGCACUCUAGACAAUAUGUGCAGAGCCUGAACAAAGCCACAAGGCAUUCCUAAGUCCUCAAGAACUAAGUCACAGACAUAAACUGUGCCCAGAGUGUGUGCCAGUCCCAUGAAUUUGCUUAAAUUUCAGUCUUUAAAAGAAGUUAAGGGUUUUGUUUGUUUGUUUGUUGGUAAUGUUUCAGUCUUUAGGUUUCAGUAUUUAAAAAUGCAAAAAGCAACACAUUAAAUCAGAUAAGAAUAUUCUAUCACUGACAGUGGUGAUUAGCAAAUGCUUAGAAAAACAUGCAGGACAGAAGAUAUACAGACAAUCUUCUAUUGUAGCAGCCUCUGGUCAGUUUGGGGAAGUCUUAGCCAAAGGUUGCAUCUGUGUUCAACAUCCAUCAACAAAUUUAAACUUCACAAAACUCUUCUUGAAUCUAUUCAUAAUUCAGAAUACCACACUAUUUUCUGACAAUCUGCUUUACAAUUUAAUUCCUGCUGUGCAGAAAAGCACUGCAUUUUGCUUGUUUUGAAGCUUCUACCUCCUCAUUUCCUUGAGUGCUUCCAGCUAUUUGGAAGUGGUUCACCCCACUUAGAACUUUGGGUCUAAUGAAUAGGAAGGGGUGAUGUGGAUCUCUAAAUUAUAUAUUUUUUUCCCAACUACAUCUAAAAGUUCCACCUGGAUAUUGAUGUUUAGCUGACACCAAGUAACACUAAAGGUAUGAUUCCCAAAUGCAUUUCCCAUAAUUUUUAAUGGUAAUGAUUUUGUAGUCAGUGUUGCUGAUGCACUUAAAAGAAUAAUAGCCUGCAUUUCAGUACAAACAGCUGCCUUCCUUUAUCCUAACAUCUUAUUACCUAGAUUUAUUCUCAUCGAUGACAUUUUGAUUAUUUGCUUUCCAAUAGAUAGUAAAGGCAGUACACUAUGAUCGUCUAAAUAGCAAUGACAUUUAACACUUUUUGCUAUAUGAGAUAUUUCUGGAGUGGCAGAAGAGAAUAUGCUUAGUAAAUUAAGUCCUGAUAAGGACUUAUUACAGCAAACCAGCUGGUUGGUGAUCUGCUCUCCCACUGACUUUGACUUCCAUGGAGUGUAUUAGUAGCUCAUUGGCAAUACAAAAUACACUGUACAGAAACUUUAUCUUACAUAUGUACCAUAAUUCACCCUCUGUGAUAUGGCAGUCUACAUCGGUUGUAUCAGUAGUCACAAGUCAUACCUUGACAAUGUUUUCUUUCUGGUAAAAACUGGUGCAAGUUGAGACUAACUCUAGCGAUGGGAUCUGGUGAAAGAUUUGAUUUCUGAGGAAAUUUGGUAAUGCAGUGGAUGGACUGUCUCUGGAAAACAUUGCAAAAUCCCUGUUGGGAAAGUUUUGGGAAGAGGCUUAUUGUACUGACAUAUCUGAAAUAGUGUCAUUCUUCUAAGUUAACCACUUGUCCUCCUACCUUAAGAGCUAGAUUUAGAACAAAUCUCCAAAAUUAAAAAAUAACGCUGUAGAAUUUGCCCCCUAAUUAGAGGUUUGUCAUAAUCUUUAAAAAAAACCAAAAACAUGCAAGAUAUUCUUUGUUCUCCAAUUCUUAGGUUUCUGGUUUUAGUUUGUCACUGUCUGGAAGAGAAUUGUUUCUCUUGUUUACUAAGACUGAAGCCUUCCUACAAGCAUGUAAGCUGGCUCUGGAUCAUACAGAUUCUGCUUUCUCCCUUUAUUCUGAUUCCUCUUCCUCUAAGGAGUGUCUGUAGAAAAGCAGACAUUAUCAGUGUAAUAAAAUCAAACCAAAACAACAUAAAUAAAUGUGUUUUUAAAAAGUAUUUCAGUAACAUGAGGCAGAAGAAAAUAGAAUUCCAUUAAUGUUAGCAAAUCUCCCAUGACUGAUCUUGUUCUUUCUUUCUGAAAGACUCUAUUUCAUUUCCAUAAAAGAGAAAUUUCUGAAUAUUUCAUGAUAGAGUAUAUCCAUGAAAGGAAGACAUUAAUUCCUUCUGUCCAGUGCAAACAGAAACAUUUUUUUUUAGCUUUAAAGAGCUGAAAAGAACACAGAUUUUAGAGAGAUGACUGGAAAAGGAUGUAAUGUACCUGAUAUACUGCAGUCUAAAUUUCCAGUGAGACAAGGGAAAGUUUGAGGACCAUUUUCAUGGGAUAACAAAACUAUUUUAAAGCAAGGUGUUUUUUUUUUUUUUUUUUUCCCUGCUUGGUUAGAAGCAAACAUUUAUUAAAAUGUAAGAAUACCUUAAGAUUAUGAUAAAAAGCACAUCAAGUUUACAGAUAGAUGCUGUGUUUAAUUAGAAAGUAAUUGCUCAUUUUAUGUCACAGUAGUUUAACGAAGACUUAGGUCAAUUGUAAACAGCAGUGUAAUUGUUUCUGAGAUAAACUUGCCUCUUUUAUAAAUUACUCUCUUUACAGUAUGAAAAAGGGCCAUAUAAAAUACCUCAACCACUUUUAUUGAGGGAUCAAAUAUUCUGUGCAGUUGAUUUUGUGAGUUAGCACAAUAGUGUUUCUUCAGAGAAGAUUAUGUAAAGAGAUUUUGUUGAUAAACUAUAACGUUGCUUAUGUUGAUGGGUAGCUAAUCUUUCAAUAUCUGACUUUUCUUCGUAGGUGAGUAUACAAAUGUACACCUGGAAAUUUCAGAAAAUAAAUACCUGCUGAUUAUACUAAUGCAACAUAAUAUAACUUAUAAUUCAAGAGCUAGAUCUAAGAUGUGUCAAAACUCUUCAGUUCCUAAUUAAUUUCAUGGAUGUUGAGGAUACACAGAGCUAAAUAAACACAUGGAAGAAUUUAACCAUCAAGGUAUCUUAUUGUGAGGAUAUUUACAUCUAAUACUUAGAUUACUGAAUUACCACUCAACAGCUACGUUAACUCCAGAAGCACCCAGGAAAAAUUUUGUUGAGGCUAAAAUUGCAUACCUGAGCAUUCCCAGAAUGCUUGUGUCUUGUACAUUCGUGUGGUACUUUUAUUGAACAGUCAUUGGAAUCUCCAAUACAGCUGUUCCUCCAUACGGAUAAAACCUGUCAACUUGGACCUUGUAUGAGAUAUUCAUAGUGUGGAACUACUGUCCUUUUAUUUUCCCACAGCAGUGAGAGUAAUAUAACUGUUGGAGCACUUAUCUAGAUUGUGGAAAAUCUACAUUCAGCUUUCUCAUCCUUUUUUCAAGCAUCUACUGUAAUGCCCUGGGCUCUCCCCUGUUGGUUUUGUGAUGGUUUCCUGUAAGAGUUUCCUUUGGAGGUAGAAGAUUUGGGUUUCAAACCUUACUUAAAGGAAAAGGAGCUCAAUAGGAGCAUUAAAAAAGCUGCUGAAACAGUACCCGGCCCCCUGCUGGUUCCCUCUUCUACGGAGAGCGCUACUCAUCACAUCAGAGUUGUGCUCCCAGUUGGAUUUCUGUCUUGCUCAGUGAACAUUCAAUAAUUCUAUGAAAAAUGGAACUGUAAGCGGCCAACCCGGAAUGCUGCUCUGGAGUUCAUUUGCCAGAAAAUAUGUAAAAGGUAGGUGCUGCAAUAUCUAAUUGCAGCCCAUUUGAAGGAAUAACCAAAAGCUUUCAUGAUUGGGGCAUUAAGAAUCAUCAUGUUACACUCUUUGAAAAAAAGCUACAAAAUAUGACAUAAAUCUCACAAACAGAGAUAUGUAUUAUCAGUGUGAUUGACUUGCAGUUUGUAUUUAUCUAAGAUCUAAGGGUUUUUUUUUUACUUCUCUCACACAGUUGCAACACCAUUUGACUAAUGAAAUAUCUGCCACAUUUCCACUGACAUCAUCAGUGAUAUCAAAGAGUUUAGGAAAUUUAGGCCUAGGUAGAACACUCCCAUUUAUUUGUCUUAAGCUGUCCAGUUACCAUAGUAAUGAAUAUAGCAUAAAUACAUGUGUGUACUUGUGUCUGAGAGAGAGAUAAUUGCAGCCAUUUGAAUCUAUUGUGGAGGUAGUUCCAUAGUUAUCUUCCAUUAUUCUUCAAGUUUUGUCUGUUUUCCUAAUCAUGUAAAAAACACUUCCUGCAUAAAUGCAGGACUGACUGCAAGCUGCUGCCACACCGGAAGGUAUGUCUGAAAUACUUCAACCCAACCCAGUGAAGUGCUGCAGCUUAAGCCUGUGACCUUGAACUUCAACCAGGGAGUUCUGAUAUACAGGAGUGAUGUGCUGGCAGUGCAUUGCAUUGCUUAUCAGCUGCAACAUUUCAUGGGUUUUCACCUCAAGGCACAGGGAGUCACGGUAAUUGAAGCUGGAGGUCAUAGAUGUGUAAAUUUAUCACAAAGUCCAUUUCCCUUAGGAGACACACUGCAUUUUGGCUCUUUGUAAGUGAAGGAGUGCAUUUGGAACAGCUUUUGAUAGCUAUCCCCACUUGCUAAGGAUUAGGGCAGCCUGGAAAGCUCCUCCUCCAUAAUUUGCAAAGUGAACAAAGUAUUUUGAGUUUUACCACUCUCUACUGACAACUGUACCUUACUCUCUUUUACUGUGUGUGAUAAAACACACUCACACACAGAGAAUAAAGAACAGUGUGAAAGAAGUAUUUUUAGUAAUUUUCGCUUUCAAAUCUAAAUCUGGUUUUGAAAACAUAUUUUUAACAUCUAGUGAGGGACCAAGAGGGACUGAAAGGCUAUUUACUGACAAAUUAAGAACAUUCCUGUCUAGGAACAACUUCUGCCACUGAAUGAAAGUAAGAAAAUCUUCUGUCUUCAAAAAAGAUACAACAAUCCAAGAAACUCUAGAUGACUGGAUUUAAUAAAGGUUGUGGGAAAAAUUAAACUACCAUGAGGAAGUGUGAAAGAACAGCUUGAAAAUCAGUUUGAUUAAGGAUAACCAGCACAGAUACAGGCAGGAGAAGUCAUGCUUAACUAACCUGCUGGAGUUCUUUGAAGAUAUUGCUGCCAAUGCAGAUAAGGGGAAUUCAGUGGAUGCAGUCUACUCGUCAGCCUUUGACAAGGCACCACAUCUCAGAUUAAUGUCUAGGGUGAAUCAUCAUGAAGGCAAAGAAAUUGUUGGAUGGAAAACUAGUGAAAAUGUAGGCCACAAAGGGAAAGCCUGGACAGAGUUUGCAAGGAAUCAGUGUUAGGACCUCUGUUGUUCAUGGUUAUGUACUUGCAUCUGGAUGCAAGUGAUGGGGUGAGAAUUUGUAAUGAAACUUAUGGCUCAUGUGGGAACAAAAGAAAUGCAAAAAGCACAGAACAAUGUGCUCAUAUACAAAAGGUGUAUAUCACUGAUAUAAAUUUGCUAGCAGAAAAGGAAUGUUAGUAAAGUGCACAAGACUUAAGCUGGAAUGAUAAAACAAUGUUAGGAAAUACUCAUUAAAUAAAACAAUCAUAUGUUGAACAAGAAAAAAAUUGGGAAUUAUUGAGGAAAUAAAUUGAAGCCAUCAGCCCAGGUCAAAGCAAUAUUUUAAAAGGUCAAAAAGAUUCAAAGAUGCUUUAGAAGACAGAAAGAAUAUCAAAGAAAACAAAGAAUGAAAGAAUGGUGUUAGCUUACACAAAGCCAUAGUAAAAGUGUCUACAGGACAUGGGCUACAAUAUUGCUAAUAGUUGUUCAGGGAAAUAAUAUUUCCUUCUUGGGAUUCAUUUUAAGGAAACAAAGGAUAUAAGGUUUCAACAAAUGAACCGUGAAGAAUACUAAAGAACUUUGGGUUGUUUUACUGUAAACUAGGUAAAUAUAUGACAUUUUUGUUGUAGUAGGACCCAGAGAUUCAAGUCAGAAUUAAGGUCCUAUUGUGUUUAUGCAUGCAAAUGGAAGACAGAACUUUCUUGUGCCAAGAAGCUUAUAAUAAAACAGUUAAUUAUAUAGGCAAGGGAAAAAAAACAAACAAACAAAAAAAAAAACAACAACACAUAAAAGACAGUAAUUUAUCCAAAUAAGAUUUAUGCCUGGAUUGUGAUCUGGGGUUCUCAUUUUUUGAGUCUCAAAUCAAUAUUUUAUGUAAUGAGUUGCAUUAUUCUUUUAUAGGUAUAAGGGUUAUUUUUAAUAUGGGGUAGGAAACCUAGGUGAAUAUCUUUAUAUAUGUGUUUUAUGUACACAUACACAUAAAGCAGAAAUAGGAAAUACUUACACUGUAUUUGUACGGGUUUUAACCUAGUCACUGAUUAUUCCACAGACCUCUACUUGAAUCUGGUGAAAGUUAGAAUAAAUUCUAAAGGGAUCUUUGUAUUAGUUCCAAAAUAUCUGCACUCCAGAGUAAGAAAUAAAUACAUUUUUUAAAAGGAAAUAAAUAAUAUGUAUAAGUAAACACAACAAUCAUUUGCUUUUGUGGGAGAAAAGUGAGAUAAACAAGAUGAAGUAUAAUUGACUGAAUGGCUAUUUGUUAAUUAAGAAAAAGUUCAUUUCUUCCUGACUUUCUUAUGCUUUGAGGUCUGCGAGGAAAGAAAAAUUUUCUCAGAAGAUGAGUAUUUUCCCCUAGUUAUGGAAGGAUUCUUUGCUUUAUGACUCAGAGCUUUGAAGUUAAUAUAUUCAAUCUUUUCUUUAAAAAUGCAUUCAUUCCUUUAGCUAGAACACUGUCCAGAAAGUGACUUUGCAGCUAAAACACCAGAAGACCAUGGUGUCUAACUUCCAAAUAUCUGCUCCCCAAAUUUUAAACCAGAAGUCUGUGUAAAACUUUACUUCUUGUGUGGAUACACCUAGACACCUUGAAAUAGAAUCUUAAAUAGGCAUGAUCAAGGAGUGUAGAGCAGCAGAUCUGAUUACUACAAACCCCCUUCCUUCUCUCAGAGAGAAGAGUUCCACUCAGUCUUGUGAAAAGGAAAUCUUUAUUUCCUCCUAGUUUCCACAACCCAUCUUACAUGCAAUUCUAUUCUAUUGCUAAACCAAAAGACAAGCCAUUCUUUAAUUUUAAAAAAUAAUAUGAUAUUUGGAAUAUAACGAUAUCCCUCUUCCACACGUUUCAGUGCAGUACAGCUAUGUCUAUGGCCCUCACUUUGCCACAAUACCUGCAUCUCUCAUUAAAGUUUUGUGCAUAAUGAAAAAGGGCUGCCUCUGGUAGCACUUCUUUAUCAGCCAAAACAAAGACAGACAAUGUUCAUAGACUCAUAUAAUCAUACAGUGGUUAGAAUGGUUAGAAGGGUCUAAAGACCAUGCAGUUCCAACUGCCCUGACGUGGGCAGGAUUGCCAUCAAUUGCUUCAGGCUGUUCAGGGCCCCAUCCAACCUGGUCUUGAACACCUCCAGGGACAGGGCUUCCACAGCUCCUCUGGGCAGCCUAUGCCAGUGCCUUUUGACUCUCUUGAGUAAAUCAUUUCUACUUUUAGUAAUGAAUACCUUGCAAAGCUUACAUACGAUUAAUAUGCCUUUGCAACAGAGAGCAUGAAGAACUUAGUUUUGGAUCUGGUGCUCAGGGACAUGAUUUAGCGGCGGUGUCGUGGUUUUGUAAUUUUGUUUUCGGUAUUCCACAUCAUAACAUCAUGUAAAGCAGUGGGAGUUAAAUAGUUAAUGUUCUGGUUCCAUGGACUGUCGUUUCCUGGUGGACUGCUGUUUCCUGUUGCUUGGUUCUCAAAGGGGGACGGGAGGAGCAGGAUUCCCCAGAGGACUUUGCACCCGCAGGGAGAAGGUGGAGCUCUCAUAAAACACUCCUGGUCUUCCUGUCCGAACAAGUCCCACUCUAACUUUGCAAUGGUAGCCUGAGUGAAUGAAAAGAUUCUUUUCCAAAGUGGCCUCAGUUUGGUGACAGUUCUGAAUCAGUUCAUCUACUGUUGGAUUUGCAGUCACUGUUGAUGUAUAUACAGUGCACAAGGGGAAAUGCAGGCUGAAGGGAGAGCAUCUAUGGGAACUUAGGUCAAGGAGACAUUCUCCUCUCACAUCAGUCCUGAUCCAGCCAGAUAGAGGGCACACAAUCUUCCAUUAGGGCUUGUUGUACUUAGAUGAAAACAAGUCAAGACUGGUAUGGAGGAGUCAGGAAGGAACAACAGUAUCCUAGUGAUCAAGUGGAGUUUCCUGGAAAGUUUUAGGCUCUAAAACAUCUGUUGUGAUUUAACUCCAUCAGGGAACUGUGUACCACACAGCCUCCCACUCACUCAUCCCCAGUGGUGUGAAGGAGAGCACUGAAAAGGUAAAAUUGUGAGGAUUCAUGGGUUGAGAUACGGACAAUUUAGUAAAGGAAAAGCCAUGCAUGUAAGCAGAGCGAAACAAGGAAUUCAUUUACUGCUUCUCAUUUGCCAGCAGAUGUUCUGCCAUUUCCUGGGAAGAAUGGCUCAUCACACAUGAUGGUUUCAUGUGGAGACAAAUGUUCUCUCUCUGAAUAUUGCCCUCUUCUUCCUUCAUUUCUCCAGCUUUUGUUGCUGAGCAUGAUGCUAUAUGGUAUGGGGUACCUCUUUAGCCAGUUUAGAUUAGCUGUCCUGGUUCUGUCCUCUCCCAGCUCCUUGCUGGCAGGGCAGUAUGAGAAGCAGAAAAUCUUUGUCUCUGUGUAAAGCCCUGCUCAACAGCAACUAAAUAGUAGGUACAUUAUCAACACUGUUUUCAUCAAAAUUCCAGAACACAGCAUCAUACAAGCAUCUACAAAGAAAACUAGAUUGAUCUGAACCAAACCCUGAGCAUCUUAUAAAGAUGUUUUUACACUUUAUACGUGGAAGUCACUGGAAAAAAACACAAGCAACUUAGAGUAUAUGUGUUUCCAAGAUGAGACAGAAAUAGCUUUUAGGGUAGUGAUUUGGAGAUUUCUGUUGCGGUUAAGCCCUACCUCUUCUGAAUGACUUCCUAGUGGGCUCACAUUUACAGGUAGUGAAAGAUCUAACCUUGCAGCUAGGAACAAGCCGGCUCAGGGUGCAACGCAAGGCCCCACUGUCCCCCCAGAGGCAGUGCUGCCAGCCACAGCCGCACAGCGCACUGAGGCCAGCAGCUGGGGAGGAUACUGGUAGGGAUGCUGGUGGGGAGAAAACCAGCAGCCCCUCGCCUAGCUCCUUCCUCCAGCCAGACCCUCCAGCCGCCCUUCUCAUUCUGCUUCUUUUCCUUCACCAUUCAAAUGUCCUAUAGCAAGUGUCAGAAUAACUUAGGAGAAAACAUGUAGACUAAAAUUAUAUUUUUGUUGAACUGCUGGCUCUAUUCUUCCUUCUCUGUUACGAGACACAGAGUUAGAGGGGGGUCUGCAGGUGUGAUUUCUGUCAAAGUUAAGGGCCUGAUUCUUACUAGCCCACUUUGAUUUUAUUUUCUCUAUAAACACAGCAGGAGUUUUUGAAGUUAUUUUUCUCAGGCAUUAAGAAGUGCAUUGUACAUUUUCUGAUUAGAUAAUGAGUAGUCUUUUUUCUGAACCAGAAAGGAUUCCAGGUUAACAUUUUGCAGAGCAGUUUUUAUGAAACAUUGACAGCAAAAGCUGUUUUUUGAAAAGAAGAAAAUGAAAAGAUUUACUUGAUACAGGCUGUUAUAACUGAGUAAAGAAGAGGCACACUAUUUUCUAUUUAGCAUUUCUUUCUCUGUGUAUUUACACUGUUAACACUGAAGUCAAGCAAAAAAAUGUUUCUUCUUCAUAAGUGUGUUGAGAAUAUCACCUGUGGUAGACAGCUUAUUAAUCACAUGCUACUUAAAACACAGAAGUUUAGAGAUCUGCCUUAGCUAUUUAUACAAAAACAGGCAAACAGUUUUUAGGUCAUGCUCCCAAACCAUACUUACUUAAAAAAGAAAGGUGGUAAAUUGUUUACCCUGGAAGGACAGCAUAAAUUUUAAAUCAGAUUUCGAGUGAAGAAAUAUAUUGUUUCUGUGGCAGUGUUGGGUUUUCCUCUUAAAAUACUUACAGAAAAAAAGUAGCUUAAAAAAGUUUCAGAUCCUACUAUUAAUGCACUUUAUUUGACCGAGUUAUAAAGUUUUAAUAGUUGAUAAGCACAAAGAUAAUAUCACAAAUUUGUACAGUGUCCAGAAGGUAAUAGAAUCUGACAGGAGUAGAGCAUGUUGAAGUUCCCAUAAUUUUCCGAACAUUGUGGAUCACUGACAAGUGUUUGCUGUGUGUUUUGCAUGGCCCACUCCACAUAGGAAGUUUGAUUGUAGAAAUGACUUGAAUUAUUUCCAAAUUGUCUCAGCAGUUUGUAUUUAGUUUAACAGUGAAAAUAAAUAAAUAAAUAAAACCCCACAUUAAAAACCCACAAAUAACCUAAAUGCCUGAGGUGGAGCUGUUGUUUGCUUUCAGAGAUUACUACUAUGACCCUAUCUAUUUUCUGUGAUGGAUUUUAUUAGGAUAUCAGAACUCCACUGCAUAUUUUUUGAUACACUAGGAUAGACAACCAACAAUCAGAGCACGCAUAAAGUGAAUUGCAGAGACACAGGAUAAAGUAUGAUUUUACAAGUGGUUAUUUUUUCAUACACAUUUAGAAUUUGAUCUACUGUAUAUCAAAGGGAAAACCUUUUGACUUCUCUCUGUAAAGAAUCACAAGUGUCCUGUUGAGCUCAGUGGACAGCAGAGUAAAGGUAGGAUUUAAUGAUUAUAAAAUGUUAAUCCAUCUGGGUGAUUUAGGAUUCAGAAUCUUAUUUUCAAAGUGACAUUUAGAGAAAGACUUGCUAAAGGAUUCAGGUGCUACAGUGACUAGAAUCAAAACCAUCUCUCUAGGCACCAGACAUCCUAUGCUUCUAUAGGGAGUGUUAGAUGCCUAAGAGCAAAAUCCCGAACAGCAGAAGGCCGAAUGAGAAGUAUCUGAGGGACAGCAGUCAGAUAAUAUUUUAGUCCCUUAGAAUGUCAAAGAAUCAUACAUCCUUUAUUACAAGUCAGUUGUAGAAACCUCUCCUAAAUCAGGGUGCCUGGAUGUUUUCUUUACAGAAAAUGAUUCAAAGCCACUUUUUAAAGAAUGGUGCCAGAGAAGAGGGAAUAGCGGUAUGGUCUUUAUAUGUUGUCUAGUUGCAGCUAACUCCAAAUGUCUUUUCUUUUUGCCACAAAUAGGAGAUCUGUAUCUAUAUUAUUCACCUAGAAGUUGUUCUAACAACUCUUAAACUGGGGCAUACAGGUUGUAUUUCUUGCUGAAACAUUUCUACUGUGCAGAAAAGUAAUCAGGAGACACUGGGUCAGUGAUGUACGUCUAGAGGUGGGAAGUUAGGUUGUGGUUGGACUCGAUGAUCUUUAAGGUCUUUUCCAACCUGAGUGAUUCUAUGAUUCUAUGAUUAAAUGAGUAUCAUAAAUUAACAAUAGCCUGCUGGAUAUAUAUCAUCUGCAUUAUCUGAGUUUUGAGUGUGAGCAUUCUAGGAAUUAUCUUUAGAUUUGUAAUAUAAAAUUUCUAGUUGAUAAGUUUGCAAUAUGGUUUUGCAAUGUGAAUAGUCACAGCACACAAAGAAACAGCACUCCAGCUAAGCUGACAUGACCAAAUACCAGUAGUUCAUCCCAGAUAUGAAGUCAUAAAUCAAUACAGAUCAGUUUCUCUAAGACUCACUGAGAGUACACAUAGCAUAGUGAUAACCUGUCUGAUGUAGGAACAAUUUGUUAAGUUACUGUAACUUAAUCAAGUGUUCACUUGUCAGGUCACCCAAUUGAUCAGGACAAUGUACUUAUCCCCUUAUCUUCUCCUAAGUUCUAUCUGUAUUUAGUAACAUUAACUGAAGUAACAUAAUUAUAGCACAUGCUGUAAUUUUGAUUUUUGUAUUUGAUUUCUUUGCUGAAGAUGCUUAAAUGCAGAGAGGCAGAUUUUUGUAGGCACACUGUAGUAUUACAGGUUGCCUUAAUGAGGCCCAAUGGAAGCCCUACCAUGGUAGAUCACACUCCUAUAGCAAGACAUACAGUGGAGGGAAAAAAAAGCCUAAGAAGAAUGUUAGAUGUCAGCUUCUUAAGUACAAGUUAUUACGUGAUUUAAAUGGGAAUAUAGCUAAAGAUCUUUUCUCUAGUUGUUUUUUGUGUGUGUAUGUGUGUUUCUCCACAUUACGAUUCUUGGCACCAGUUAUUAUACUGCCUUAUACUGGAAAGAUGCAUUGUCACCACACUGAAUCCAGCUUCCUGUAGUAUAGUCUUUCUACUAUGAAGAAAAAUCAUUGAGGCUGUCUUCCCCAUUUCCUCUCUCCAGCCCAGGAAACAAUGGCCUUGAGGAGCGUGACUGUGAUCUGUGCUGUGAAGAUUGCACACUCACUGCUAAUUACUGUAUCUGUAAUUCCUGACUGUACUAGCCCUGCCAAGGAGUGAAUUACAGUCUUUUGAGUACAUUAAUAUCUAUAAGCUAGCCCUCCAGCUUGCAGAGCCAGUAGGAAUUGUAGAGAUAGUAACUCACCGAACACUCCUGUGAUGUGAACAGCUCUAUCUGAUUGUCUUGUAUUCAUUUGUGCUUCUCUGGUAUUAACCCUUCAAUCACUCUGACAAGUGCAUUUGAAUCGAGGGAGGGAGAUGAUUUUGACAGUUUCACAUAGUACAAUGAUGUAGAAAAUCUAGGACUGCCAGUGAGAAAAGCAGCAUGUAGUAAUGAUGCUCCAGGUUUAUAGUGUCUCUUAAAAGAAAUAAGAAAUGAUCAUGUCUUUUUUCAUUCAUUGUUCUGAAUACAUUAGCAGGUGGCUGAUGAUUUUUCUGCUCAUAUUAUACAUGCAAUAAAUGUUCCCCUAGCUGUUGUUAUCAUGCCCGAGUUAUGCUAGGUGGACUCUUUGGAAGGAGCUCUUCAAUUUAAGAAUGGCUUCAUUGUAAUUUUAUUUGAUAUUCUUUUUAGCAGCAUGUAAGAAAUUCAGUUAGUAUUCAUUGUAAUAGCACCAAUCAUAAAGAAUUCGUUUGCUAUUCAUAUGGAUGUCACAGGUCUUUCCACAGGACUUACACUAACUGCAAUUUUAGAAUCUUUUAAUGGAUACUUACACAAAGAUUGCUUUGGAAAAGAUCUACCACUUCCCAGCUGACUGAUUUAGCUUUGGCUGUUUAGAAGUAGUGCUAAAAAUAUUGUGUAGAGAGAUGUACACCAAUCUCUUUAACAAUAGUAGGUUUCAUUUUCACGAAAUUUUCUAGUAUUCUAGUGCUUCAAACCCUGUAUGUUUAGCAAUUGAUCAGCCAUGGAGCUGCAUGGAGCAGAGAUCCAUUUUCAGACAUAGUCGUCACGCUUUUGCAGAGACUCAACAGUUACAAAUAUUUUUGGCAUCACUUGCAGUGACAGAAAAGGAUACUUCCAAGAAAAUGUGAGACUAAAUUGUGCAAAGGGAGAAAAAAAGUUAUCUUUCUGACUAAUGGUGACUCAGAAUGCAUUAAAAUUGUGUAGAUUAAACACAUUUAUAAUCAGACUAUUAACAAAAAGAUUCACAACUGCAUUAAUAAGUCAUAUUUCAUUAUCCUAACACAAGAUACCUGGUAUGAGACAUUAAUAAAUGUAAUAAAGCCUUCUGCAUAUGCAUUAUGAACAGCAGUGCUUUUAAUAUUAAAAGUGAAUCCAUAUGGGUUAUUUGACAUGUAAAAUAUUAACUUUUAUAGCAGGAAUGCAAAUGAGAGUUUGGGCACUAAUUAUAUCUGCAGAUCCCACUCAGGAAUGAGGCUCUGUGUGACUAACGAUUUUGGCAAAAGGAAAGAAUGUCCUGCUUCUCUCAAGAGGCAACACAUCUCAGCUUCUGCUUCUUUCUCUGUAACCCUUUGAAAUCCUCACCUCACAUGAGUGCUUGUGCUGCUCCCAGGGCCUGGCUUCCGAAAAGAGCCCACCACCUCCGUGGCUUCAUAGCUGAUGUUGUAUGACUGCCUCUGGCGAAGAGGAAAGGUUAUUUCAUGUUUAUCCGGAACUAUGUAACUGUAGGAGGUACUCUAUAAAAGAUUAUUUUCACUGUCUGUUUCUAGCAUCUUAUUGCUACUUCUUCCAUUAAUGAGAUGAAAGUGUUGCGUUCCUGUAUAGAAUGACAUAAUUGCCCUAAGCACGUAUGCUAAGAAACUUAUGUUUCUUCCCUCAGUUUUUUUUUUUCACAUAAGAAAAGGUAGUUCUUUUUUCUUUCCUCUUUUCUUUCCUUUUCCAUUUUUAAUAAAUCUACUUUUUAUCCUCAUUAUUUGCUUUCCUUGUGCAACCCUCUGACAAAUGCCUAUCCGGCUGAGCUGACUGACGACUCCAAUCAGUGGGACUGAGCCUGUCGGUGUUAUUCCUGAAAUGGCCAGAGGGGUCACUGGAAAUCAAAAUGAAACAGACCUUUCUUGAGGAAGUAGCAUGCCCUUUUUAUUUUGACGGGUACCCACAAGAAACUUCCUACCUGAGCUACUUAGAUGGAUACUGCCAGACUGUACUCAGCUGAAAUAACCUCUCAUGUGUUGGGCUUCUUAAUUUUAUUAUUCUUUAUUGCAGGAAACUUUGAGAUAUUAUGCCUAAGAAAUAUGCUGCUAGAAACAGGAUGACAAAACAACCAAUGAAAAGUACCAUAGGUAUUUUAAACUAUCAUAUAAUUAUCUUUUAAUAAUAAGACACACAUACAAUUAAAACUUGAAGAUGAUUAAUAUUGUGACUUAUUGCCAAUCUCUAGCAGAAAGGAAGUAGUUUUAUUAAAAUUUAACAAAGGAAAUUUCAAUCUAAGCCUCUGUGAUCUAGUAACAAAUUCUCCAUGUUUUGGUACUGCUAGUUGAUGCCUCUGAAGUUAAAUCUUACACAAACAUCCAGAAUGGCAGGAUUACAGUUCCUAAAAGAGUGCAACUGUGGCUGCAAGUCAAAUUUCAAAGGAUGUUGUAUUUUCAUUGUUUCUGCUUGAUUACAUACAUGCAGGGGUGUGGCAUUAGUCUUCAGUAGCUACCUGAGGAACUGCUUCCAUCUUUCUGAGGGGUCCACUUCGCCUGCGAGGAUGAGACAAGAAAAAAUACAAAAUACGAUUUAAUUCAGUUGCUCUGCUAAAGAUCAGUAGUUUUUGAAACGUGAACUUUAUUUCAAAGAAGUACCUUACUGUACAUUAUUAGAAACACUCUUACGAUGUGUAAAACAAGUGGCAUGAGGAGUUCUUUAUAAGCAAAUUACUAAAUCACCUUCCAGGCUGUCUUAAUAAAUCUCUGCAAGGCUCAUUAGUGUAAUUUUCUAGACUUCAUCGAAGUGCCUCUACUACAGCUGCACAAAUACACGUGGCAAUUUCACUAACCAUAAUGGGCUUGGCAAACAACUGAAGUCUGACUGGGUGUAUACAAUUUGGCUUGAUAAUUAGAUUUUUUUGCUUCCAAUAUAAUUUUCCUAAUUUACCUCAUUUCUAUUUUAAUUGUUGCACUGAGCAGAUAAAAAAUAAGAAUAGGGAACUGAUUAUUUCAUUGAAAUAAAAUUUGGUACACCUAAAAAUUAAUUAGUUCAUUUCUAUGUUACCAAAGGUUGUGGCUGGUCCAUUUGUUGUAUCAUUUUUAUUGCUCUGAGGCUUACUAAUCCUGACUCCACUGAAAGAGGUGGUCAAACUCAUUCUCCUAGAAAUUUAGGAAUUUAGCCAGACUUUCGUUUCCCCCUUUACACAAAUAAUUAGUUUUUUAACAUAUUGCUAAGUGUAUGGCAGGUCUGACAGUAAUACUGAACAUUCCAUAUGCAAAUUUCAUAUUCAGUAAUAUCCAAAUAUUCAAAAUAACAAUAAUAUACUAUGAUACAGAAGUAAUACAGAAUGAUAUUAAAAGCUGAAAAGUAUUUUUAAAGUGGAUUAUGGGUUUAAACUCUGUGCAGCUUUUCCACUCUGUCAAGUUGAUGUAGACUCUAAGGCCAAGAUGUACAGAGUUUUUGAGUAUCUGUGUUUUGAGCUGCAUCACGUUAAGCUAUCUGAAGCACUGAGCAUUUUUAGUUAUUGCUCAGGACCUUCUGAUUGAUGAGGAUCUUCAAACUGUCUCAAGUUGUAAAUCCAAAAGAAGAGAUGCUUGGAAUCACUAAUUGAUGAAGUGCUUUUCUGGAAACAAUUCAGGGCAUUUGGGACACAUAAACGUGGCCUAAAGUGAGAUAAAAUAUUUUCUUAAAAUUCAGAUCCUAAAUAUGUAAAUUAAUUCAAACAUAAUUAGUACAAAUUCAGAGCUUAUCGUCUCUCAUGCCAUAUUGUUAUUAGGUGGCUAAGAAUAUAAAGGAAGUAUAUAAAGGAAGUAAAUUUCUAAUCUCUCUUUGAGAUUCAUUUGUUCAAUCAUUUGGAGGCAUCUUCCAUCUCCAGAUUGAGCUUGUUCUCUAGUAUCAGGGCAGCAAAUCUGCAUGUAUGAUUGCUUUGUCAAUAUGAGUUCAAUUCCUAGGGUCUAAGACUUGCAAACUGGUUUUUAACAUGCUGAUGAAAUAUCAUGCGAAUGUCCUAUGUCUGUGAAAGACUGAAGGAUGAAAAAGUUUGUCAUUUAAAUACAAACACACGUUUUAUUUAGUAUCUAUGUGAAUGUUGCUAUUUCUUUAUGAUUUACAAUAAUGCAUUUCUGUACAGCAGCAUUAGAAAAUUAAUAUUCAGGGUUUAAAUCAUAAUAUACAGGCUGGAGAUAUGUGGCAUUGUUUAAAAAAGGAGAAAAUGCAUUUUUUGCAAGUGCACUGAAACUAAAUCUUGUAAACAUGUAUAUUUUGAACUGUAGGCUUCUGUUGCUCCCUUUCAGUAGGUCAAGUAUUUUGAAACAUAACCCAGAGAAAUUUAACUUGGAGACCUACUUUUCAGGGGGAGACUUGUUUUAUGAACAAGCACAUCGGUUACUGUACAGUAGAGCCUGAUAGUGCCAGAAAACCUAUUUAUUUGCAUACAAAAGCACACACAGGCAGCACUGAACACAGCAGUAAGCAGAAACCUGUACAAAGCAACAGUAAUGAUCUUUCUGUAAAAAUUUUGCUUCAGAUCUCUGUUCAUUUCCUUUCAUGUUCCCUUUCUGCCAAGAGUGUUGUUGUUAGUUGUAGAUGCGUACAGAGACAUCAGUAAAUUAUUGGGCAGUGGAAUUCCUUCUGUUCUUUGGCCCUUUUUAAACAUCUUUCAGAAUCAUACGCACAGAUAUUUACUGACCAUGGUGUAGUGAAUCUUGGAGAUUGCUUCUUUCCUCACCUGCAGUCCCUAAAAGCUGUGACAGUCCCUUCCCUGGCUUUUCCCACUUGCUCUUGAUUGCAGCUCUACUUUUCGAUGGAGUUUGAGAUGAAGGUCUGUGCGUUUGUACUGCAGCUUUACUUUUGAUCUUCCUCUUCUUUCUCCCAGUGGUUACAUAUUCACAGGAAUGUUGUAAAUAUGCCUUCUCAUUUGUGGGUGGUAUCAGCAUGCCUAUGUAUUUCUGAUGGGGUAUUGUCAGAAUGCCAGAUCUUUGCCCAGCUGUGGGUUGAAUUGGCAAUUUCUUAGGAGCCUGGACGAUAUGAAUAAAAUGAAGUAUAUUACAGCUGUCCUCAUCUUAAUACGGAGGAUUAAUCAGCAAAGCUUGCAGCAGGUCUCAGCAUGUGAUAUCUCUGAUCAAGAUUGAGUAUCACAUGCUGAGAUGUGAGAUAGGCUGCAUCUUCUUAUUAGUAAUAAGCUUAGCUUCAAACUGAAUCAACGACUAUCUGAUCUUGCAUUUAUAGAAAGCAGAACCAGAAAUCGAGAGACAAGGAUACCAUUCUCCAUUCUGUCAUAAACUUCUUAUCUAUGAAGUCCUGUUGGGCAGCAUAUUCCUGUUCACUCAGUGAGUUUUGCAUUUCAAAUUUUAGGUGAGUUAUUUCAGAUUUUGAGGUAUGAGGCACCAUUUUAGCAGUAAAAUAGCAAACUCUGAAAACAAAGAUUAUCCAUAUCAGGCCAGACAUCUGGGAGUGGAAAUGUGGCCAUUUAAAACAAAGAUGUUAGCCUUAUUAAUCAGUUUCCUCAUCUACAAAACAAUUAAGAUUUGCUUAUGUGCUCUGCCAGAAUGUGGAUAAAAAGGGCUACUCUAUGUUUAUUUUACUUGUAUCAAUACUGAUGUGGAGGAUUUAUACCAAUUUAAAACUUCAAAAAUUUAAUACUAGUCUGAUAUCACAUUUUCAGUUCUUCUAUACUUACUUAUGUGUUCUGUUACAUGAGUCAGGUAGAUGACACAGGGAAAUACUCAACAACAGAUCAAAAUGCUGAUGCUGAUUGAGGUAGCUGUGCCCUACAGGUUAUCUCUGUUAAAAAUACAUUCCUUAGAGAUGUUUACUAGAGUAAUUUUUCUUCAUACCAGAAGAUCUAAACACACGGAAAAAAGUCAUGAGAUGUAAAGUGAUUAACUAUGGUUUUGACGGCCAAGUUCGUUGCCAAAGCAGAACAAUAGAAAAUAAUUUGAAGGUAUGUUAAGAAAGCACUAUCAACAAAUUAAGAAGUGCACGUAGACUAUAAAUAAAGGUUUAAUCUGUUCAAUUUUUUCUCAAAAACAGCAAAGGUUUUGACACUUCAACAGACGAAAAGGGCUGGAUAGCAAUAGGCAUUCAAAACUCCUCAAAAGAGAGCAGAAUUUUACUGUUUAUUUUUUCCUAGAAAUGAUACUUAGAACAAUGUAAUCUGGAAAUAUUUUGAAGUUCUUCUUCCACAGCUGUGUUAGUUGGAUGGCAUAGGACAGAUGGUACAGCACAGUCCAGCAUACAAGGAGCUUACUGCUUUCACGACUUUAGUAGGAAGGGCUUUGAAAAAUGGUAAUGAUGGUAUCAAAUCAGUGAGAUCUUGUAGAAUACGUAAACAAAAUGAGAGACUUGCUACUGCUGUCUAGGAAUCACAUUUGGGCUGCUGUGCCAGGGGACAGAGAAGGAAGGCGGAAGGAGAAAUCUUAGAUUACCCUGCACCUCCUUCAUUUGAGUUUUACACUGGGUAAACUAAUUACCUUGCCUAGCAUUUCUUUUCCUACUUCUCCUUAGGUGCUUAUGCAGAGAAAGGAACAGGUCUACUUCCAGUUUUUUUGCUGUCAAACUCAUGUCCAGAAACUGAAUAAUCACUUACCCGCUGGUUAACACACUGUUCUGCAGCAGUUAAAGGAAAGUGCUUAAAUACUGAAGUAAUUACUGAAAGGAACUAAAAGAAAAGGGUAAGUUAUCAAAUUGAUAAAGUAGUGCUAGCCCACUUAGCCAAAUAAGUUGUUAGACCUCUGAAAGACACGAUGCAUCAUGAGCAGGGGUAUUUAAAUUUAGGUUAGAUCUAAUUACUUUUUAAUUUCUAUUUACGUUUUAAUGAAGAUUGCACUUGAUGAGAUAAAUAGCAGAAAGAUUUCUGAAUAAAAAAUUCUGUGUGUUGAGGAUUAGAUGUUCAGGGGUUUGGAGUACCUGAAAUAAGUGUUUUAAGAAAUUUAUUAUGCAUUUGUCUACCUUGGGCCUUCCUUUUGAAUCUAGAAGAAAUCUGAAAAAUCCUAAUCUGUUUUCAUCCUCCUGGCUCUAAAUGCCUCCAGGAGGUUGUCCAGUGGGAUUUCUAGAAGUGCCAAAUGCAAGCAGCAGAAUUGAAAAUCAAUGGGAAAUAUGAACAGGCUUUAACAGUUCCAAAGGAAGAUACUGUGUUUAUGAAUAUUGUCAAUACUAUAUAAUAUUGCAUAAUUCAUGAAAAGAGUCUGAUCGCUUUUCAAAACUGCAAGAACUCUGAAUGUCUUUGUUGUUACCGUAAUUCCUUUAGUAGCACAACGGUUUUAUAGAAAAAUCCUUACGUGUUUUAAAUGCUGCAGAACUAAUUAAUAUAUGGCUAUGUACAUUAUGUUCCUGUACUUUGACUCUGGUCCUUGGUAUUCCCAUUUUACAGCAGUUCAGUAUGCAAACUUUAGGAACAUGUCUUGGUUGCACCUUCUUUUUCCUUUUACGGGUUUAUAACAAGAUGUUUGUUUUACAUUAACAAUUCUUGAAAAGCUCAUGGUAUCUUAAUCGUCCUUCAUAAUAAAAUAUUUUCUACUAUGGGCUGCUUCUUGAUCCAGUCAAAAUUAAUUCAAGUAUUGAACAUUCUUGCAGAAUAUUGGUGACACAAUGUCAGAUUCUCAGGCUUUAAACAGUGUUGGAGAUGAACUACAGCAAGCCAGACUUUGCAGCAUCACUGGGUCAAGAAGCAGAAAUUUGGUCAUUCUGUAGUCACUAUCUGGAAUAACAAAGUCAGUACAGGUCUUUACUGAAAAAUCCGGGUACCUCCAGUAUCAAUACACUCUGCUCUUAUUUUUAAGCUGUUACUGCUGUAACAUUCGGUAAUUCCCUGUCAGUGCCCACUCUCUCUGAGCAGAGUGAGAUUUCUUAUGGUUAAAAACCAAACCAAACCAAACCAGAAAUAAAAUCUUUCUAUACCAGUUCUUCAAACAUAGAUAAGCCAAUAAAAAGUAAACUGAAAUGUGAGAACUGAUCUGCUCCAUUAAUUCAUAAUAAAAAUAUAGCUUGAGACAUUAAACUUCAUUAAAAUUUAGCAAAAAGGGUUUGACAACAAGUCUGUCUCAGUAGUUGUAAGUAGUUAAUUGAAGUGUUUGAAUAAACGCUUCUUAAAUCUUACCAUGUUUAUAAAUUCUGAAACAUUAAAAUUAUCCUGUAUUCAAAUCUAACUUGUGGUUGUGCAAACUUAUAGUCUCCUAUCUAAACAGAACUACAGGUGGCUUCUGCAGUGACUCACCUGUAGAGCAGAAUUUUUGUAUUUUCUAGGAAGGUGGAAGGAUUAUAAAUGCAAUUAAUCAUCCUUUCCUUUUUAUUUUGCAUGGCUGACAUUCAGCCAGUCAGACUCAACAGCUAACUGAUGCUGUUGCGAUGCUUACUGACUUCCCAAAACAUAACCGAGGAUACAUAGCGAGUGACAAAAUUAACCUCCAAACAAAUCCUCCCAAAGAGGCAUUUUUUUUUCCCCAAAAGGAAUAUCGUCAGGAUCCACUUUAACACAUUUAUAAAUCACAUUGUUGGAUUAAUAUGAUGAUAAUCAAUGUUAAUGGCCAGUUGUUUGUUACAAAUGGGUUUUUUGCAUUAAAUUAAUUACUUUUCAUAUACUCCUAAUGUAAUCAGAAUGUAGACUAUGGCUCUAUGUUUGUUUGUUUGUUUUUUUAAAAUUCUGCAUAGUAUUUAUCGGUUAAUUAUACUAAUGAAGUGCUGUUGCUUUGUUUUGUUUCGUCUGGGUGUUUUGAGAAUGAACUGAUUACUGAGACUUGCUUUAUGUAUUUCAUCUCUGGUAUUGCAUAACACUGCUAAUGUGCUUUGCUUGUCAAUAGAUCUCCUCAUACUGCAUUUGCAGCAAUCGUGCAUUGUAGUUGCAAAGGUCUCUUCUUAUUUCAGUGAAAAUAGUGACUUUUCAAGGCACUUUAACUUACAGUGACGCCACACUUAUUUUUUGUAUCUUAGAGAGAGAGAAAAAACAAAAGCCUUCUUUAGCAUAAACAAAAAUAUACUUAUUAACUAGACUAGGUAAAAAUUAUAAUCCUUAUACUGGUCUGAUGGGCAGGCAGGCAUUCUAACGGUUGGUACACAUACAUGAGGCACUUGUCACCUUUUCUGGACUGCAGAUAGGUAACCCUGUUUACACAAACUUCUUACAUUAAUGUAAACAAUAAAUGUAUAUGCACAAGCUUACAAAAACUUUAUCAAAUCUAAUACUGAUAAAGUAUUUCAAGCUUAAUAACGUAGCAAGUUCUCAUUGGAGUAAUAUUGCUCUGGCUCAGCUGAGCUAAGCACAUCACUUUGGAAAGCUAUAUUCAGUUGCUUGUCGUCCUAGGAGACAUCUAAGUAGAUGACUUUGUAAACUUGAUCUAAUAAAAACAAAAGGUGUUCUAUAUCAGCCAAACGUAAAGUUUACCCAUCAGAAUCAAGGGAAAAAAAACAGAGUUACUGAAUGAAGAACUGACAGUCAGUAGUGUCUGUUGAUAGAUAGUCAAUAGAGACUUUGUGUGUCUGGCUCCAUUUUGUUAAUAUUUCUUUACAAAGACUGAGCGGGGAUUGCUCCUUUCUUUGUGGAGCUACUGAGCACAAUCAGGAAAAUAAACUUCUGUGAGAGAUGCAAGGGUGACUGCGUGAAGAUGGGAGACUGGAGCUGAAAGGAAAACUGAGAGAUGGUGGUGAGGGACAGAGAGCAAAACCCAGAUCUUAGAGAUGAUGAAAGAAAUUUCCUGCAACAAGAAACAAGUAGGCUUGGUCAGAUGGCAUUUGUAAGGUCACUGAGUUGAGAAGAACCAAGCUCAGAUGCCAGAACCCAUCUGCAAGGGAGCAGAGUAAUAAUGUUCAUAAAAUCCCUAUGUGGUUAUUCUACUUUCUCUAGUCUCUUUGAGUUUCCUCUGCUUAAAAACUCAGGAUUCUAGUUCAUGUUACAUUAAAAUUUGCCUUAUUUUUCGUUUAUAAGCCUUUUGAUCUUCUUCUAUAGGAAAAGGCUUAGUAGGACCUGCCGCAAAGCUUUUGCUUAUUUUGAAUCCCACUGCAUGCACUAGUCCAAAGACAAACGAGCCCCCACAUGGAGACCAUUGACUACAGCUAUGGGGUUGGUUGCUCAGGGACAAUGAAUUGGAGUAAGGAAGUCAUUUUCCCAAGUGAUACUGAUAAGGAACUUUACUGGAGUAAUAUGUAUAUGCAUUUUGGAUAUUCAUUUAAAAAGAUGACACAAAAUUGAUAAAAUGUUCUAAAUAAUCAUAACAAAAUUUCUCUGAGGACUUAAGGAAAUGCCCAAGUGACCUUUGCCUACAAAUGAAGUCUGUUUGAAAGUAAUGCCUCCUAUUUUAUUAUGCUGGCCCCUGAAAGCAGUAGAGGUUGAACUGUCCCUCCAAGAUUCUAUUCAAUUUUACUGCCAUGUGACAGAUGGCAGCAGAAGGGCAGUUUAGCAAAAUGGCAUCUGACAUGGAAGUGCAUGUGAGGCAAAGGUGUGUCACCGAAUUCCUCCAUGUGGAAAAAAUUACACCCUUUAUAGUUGUCGAUGCUUGCAGAACAUUGAAGGAGACCAAAUAGUUGGUGUUAGCACAGUAAGGUAGUGGGUGGUGCAUUUCAGCAACAGUAUUGUCGUAGCAGCUGUGAAACAGUGGGUCACCUCUGCUGGUGCAGAUCAUCACAUGUAUGGCAUGUAGGCUCUUGUUCAUCACUGCCAAAAAUGCACAGCUAAUGGUGGUGACUGUUGAAAAAUAGUGCCUUGUAGCUCAGAAUUUGCUCUAUCAAACAGCAAUAUUGUGCUCUUGACAUCUGUUGUAAUUUCCAUUGAAAUAAAUAGGGGGCAUUACUUUCAGAGCAACUUACAUAUUUUUGCAAAUAAUUAGUGGUGUAUUCUACAGUAUCAUAUGCUAUGCUAAAUGGAUCUUCAUUUUGAAACAGAAAAGCAUAAUGAGAACCAAUGUCUGAAAGCUGAAGCAAAGAAAAAAGCUAGGGCUACAUUUUUACAUCUAUGGUGAUACAGGACAAACUAUGUAGGGUAUUAUUUGAGUCUCCAUUUCUUAUACUUUCAGAUUAAAAAAUAGUGUAUUUCUCAAAAAUAUGAUUUACUAAAACAAAAAUCUUAAAUAAUAGCUGAACUCAUGCUAUUUGAUUUAAUAAUGAAUA
rnacentral:lncRNA from 1 species